GGUGAUAGGGCAGGACCUCACCAUCCAGAGUCUAUCCCAGGUCUCCAGUUAGGAAUUCUGAGCAGCUGGGGGAAACAGGGGCAGUCCUGGGUAUCAGGCACCUCCUUGGAGAUGGGAGCCAACCAAGGACAGGCUGAGAUGUCAGCCCAUGGGUGGGGGUCAGGAUCAGGCCUGGUGAGGGGAAGCUGCAUCAGACACAGCCUUGCUUGUGUGCAAGUACAAACUAUUACGGAUAUUACCAUGCUUACAGAGUUGAAACACAAGCUGAUCCCUCCUGCUUUCCUUCCUGGAGUUCAGCGUGUUGUUGGCAAAUGAAGAGCAGGCAGAACAUGGAAGAGGGAAAAGAUUCAGAAACAGAUGCUCGAACCCAGCUGCAAAUCCCAGGAAAUGGAAGCUUCCAGCAUAGGGACUCUUCAUUCCACACUGUUUAUACCUUACUGCUAAGAACAGUUUAAAAUCCUAUUUUAGGUGUAAAUUCCUCUGCAUUUUUGAAAAGAUUAAAAUGUUUCUGAGUAACCACAUUACAAUUAAGCCACACAGGUUAGCUAUAGUUGGCAAGAUUCUCAUUUAUAGUGAGAUUCCUUUAAGAUCUCUUUGUGUGGAGUGUUGUAAAGUGCAAUUACACUAAAUUAAUACUCAUCUUGAGUUCCUUAUAGCACUAGAACAGUAGAAAGGCAUAAGUGUGAAAAAACACAUCCAACCAAAGUACUCAAUAGUCUCCAUCCUAUUUGCAUUUUUGCCAAUUUCCCCCACUUUCUCAAUAUUAAACCCCAGAAAAUUCUCUUUACCAGCUUGUUAAGGUUUCCUUUUAGGAAGAAAGCAGU